UACGUAGGUGGCAAGCGUUGUCCGGAAUUAUUGGGCGUAAAGCGCGCGCAGGCGGUCCUUUAAGUCUGAUGUGAAAGCCCACGGCUCAACCGUGGAGGUCAUUGGAAACUGGGGGACUUGAGUACAGAAGAGGAAAGCGGAAUUCCACGUGUAGCGGUGAAAUGCGUAGAGAUGUGGAGGAACACCAGUGGCGAAGGCGCUUUCUGGUCUGUAACUGACGCUGAGGCGCGAAAGCGUGGGGAGCAAACAGG
rnacentral:rRNA from 1 species